ACUCUAGGAACACAUGAGUAUUUUACUGAUGUCACACCCAGCAUAUAGUCUGGACCUAGCUUCCUCAGAUUAUUAUUUGUUUUAAUCCAUGACUCACUUCCUGAGCUUGCAAUGCUUCAUCAACCAAGAGAAGGUAGAAGCUUCAGUGAAG